rnacentral:tRNA from 1 species
GCUGGAGUAGCUCAGUUGGUUAGAGCGUGUGGCUGUUAAUUACGAGGUUGAAGGUUUAAGUCCUUCGUAUAGCG